CUAAGUGCAGGCACAUCUCCCCCCUCCACUACUCUGACCCCAAACCCAACCGCCGUCGCCCCCAAUCUAAGUCCCACGCUGCCGCUCCCCAGUGCCGCCUCUUGCCGUCGCUCCUCCCCGGCUCCCUGCGCCGCAACUCCCAUCUGCUUCCGUGAUGCUAUCUUCCCUGGUGCUGCUGCUCGCUGCAAUUCAUGAUCCUCCUUAUCUGCAUCUAGCACUGCGCAUCUUAGGUACCCUGGCGCACCCAAAUCAAUCCCGCUGGAGGAGCCAGUAAUGUUGGAUCCAGCGCUUCCACUCGCUCCUCUUCGGCUUCAACGCCACACUCGACACAUGGUGAUGCCGUGAAAGGCUUCUGAAGUGGUGAAGUAUCCUCGACCUGCAGGCCCUCGACCUGGGAGCGUCUCAUGAGGAUGACACCUUCAUUGCGCCCAUCUGUGCCGCGGUCUCCGCAUGGCUCGCCGCCACCUCAUGCAGCUGCGAUCCAACUCCAACAGACAAGAAGUUUCUCCCUGCGUCACUUGGACAUUUCAUCGAAAUCUGAACCCCCUUGAUGCUGCUCGUUUCAUAAUUGGCAUAAGAUGAAGUGGAGGUAAGUACUUCCCUGCAUGACCCUGAUUCACUUUUGUUUUUCUUCAGAACUGAGUUUUGACAAUCAAAUCUCUAAUCUUUUAUGGCGUCAAAGUUCCAAAAUAUGUCCUAAGGAUAAUUUCAAGCUCUAAACUAAUGGCAGGUAAUCUGUUCCACAUGCAAGUGUUCAAUUUCAUAAUAUACGUGAGAGAUAACAUUUUUUUGAUAAAAAAAGAACUAAUAUAUAUGCUUUUUCCUUACAAGUAUAGUUUAUACUACCAAUUGUAUUUGCAAUCGUCAUGUUAGGUAUGCGUGGAUGCUCUCAUUAUAGCUUGGUAAGUCUCAUGGUGCAGCCUUUCAUGUCAGUAUUAAUAUAUGAUCCCGAUAGCAUUACUUACCACCUAAUAUGACCACUGUACUGUUGUCUUCAGAGAAUAGACAUCUUGCAUCCUUCCAAUGCUAUUGCUUAAUAAACAUCUUGCAUCCUUCAAAUGAUACUGUUUAUAUUUGACCUUUUAGUACAAUUUGAUCUUGAAUCAAAGAGUCCGUUCUAUUAAAUUGACUAUAGCUUAAUCUUCAGUGGAAGCCAUGAUGACUUCUACUGAAUGAUGCUUGCUAUAACCUCAUUUACAGGUUAAUUGAAGUAUUCUAAUUUCAUCAUGUAAAUUUGGGUCACCACACAUAUCCUAUAUCUUAUACACAAAUAAUUUGUUUGUUUAAUAUGCAGGAUCCUGGGAGACCAUGAAAAAAAUCCGAAAACUGAAGCAAACAUGGACGAGUGAAAUACAAAUUAGCUGCAAGCAUGAAGCUUUUUAAAUAGAUUUUGAUUUUAUAAAAAUUCGGGGUGAUAUGUAACAUUUUCAGUUUGUUAGAUGAUUGUUGACUGUAUAUGCUCUAAUAUGAAAUGAGUAUUGGUUCCUGUGAGGUUUC